rnacentral:rRNA from 1 species
UACAGAGGUCUCAAGCGUUGUUCGGAAUCACUGGGCGUAAAGGGUGCGUAGGCGGCGGGGAAAGUCAGAUGUGAAAUCCGGAGGCUCAACCUCCGAAUUGCAUCCGAUACUCCCUCGCUAGAGAUUUGUAGGGGAGCUUGGAAUUCUCGGUGUAGCAGUGAAAUGCGUAGAUAUCGAGAAGAACGCUCACGGCGAAAGCGAGGCUCUGGGCAAAUUCUGACGCUGAUGCACGAAGGCUAGGGGAGCAAACGGG